rnacentral:rRNA from 1 species
GAUGAACGCUAGCUAUAGGCUUAACACAUGCAAGUCGAGGGACCGGCGCACGGGUGAGGAACGCGUAUCCAACCUGCCCAUAACUAAGGGAUAACCCAGCGAAAGUUGGACUAAUACCUUAUGGUUAUGGCUGGGGAUGCGUCUGAUUAGCUUGUUGGUGGGGUAACGGCCCACCAAGGCAACGAUCAGUAGGGGUUCUGAGAGGAAGGACCCCCACAUUUGAACUGGGGCACAGUCCAAACUCCUACGGGAGGGAGCAGUUAGGGAUAUUAGGGAAUGGACGCAAGUCUGAACCAGCCAAGUAUCGUGCAGGAUGACGGCCUAUGGGUUGUAAACUGCUUUUAUAUGGGGAUAGGUACCAUAUGAAUAAGGACCGGCUAAUUCCGUGCCAGCAGCCGCGGUAAUUC